rnacentral:rRNA from 1 species
CGUGUAGGCGGUCGGUCAAGUCCGAUGUGAAAGCCCGGGGCUCAGCUUCGGAAGGGCAUCGGAAACUAGCCGGCUGGAGCGCGAUAGAGGAGGGCGGAAUUCCUGGUGUAGCGGUGAAAUGCGUAGAUAUCAGGAGGAACACCGGCGGCGAAGGCGGCCCUCUGGAUCGUUGCUGACGCUGAGACGCGAAAGCGUGGGGAGCAAACAGGAUUAGAUACCCUGGUAGUCCACGCUGUAAACUAUGGGUACUAGGUGUUCGGGGUAUUGACCCCCUGAGUGCCGCAGCUAACGCAUUAAGUACCCCGCCUGGGGACUACGGCCGCAAGGUUAAA